GACAGAGGGUGCAAACGUUGUUCGGAAUUACUGGCGUAAAGCGAGUGUAGGCGGUUUGGUAAGUCGGAUGUGAAAGCCCCGGGCUCAACCCGGGAAGUGCACUCGAUACUGCCAAGCUAGAGUGUCGGAGAGGUUGGUGGAAUUCUCGGUGUAGAGGUGAAAUUCGUAGAUAUCGAGAGGAACACCGGUGGCGAAGGCGGCCAACUGGACGAAACACUGACGCUGAGAACUCGAAAGCGUGGGGGAGCAAACAGGA
rnacentral:rRNA from 1 species